AGCCCCACAGCUAGCCUACCCGCAACAAAUGCAACCUGAACACAGAAAUAACCCCAAACAACCUACCUAUAAUAAACAAACCAUUUUACCCCUUAAGUAUCGGCGAGAGAAAAAGGUCAUUAGAGCAACAAGAUAAGUACCGCAAGGGACUGCUGAAAGAGAGAUGACAAAGACCAGUUAAGCGCAGAAAAGCAGAGAGCCCCUCGUACCUUUUGCAUCAUGAUUUAGCCAGAAUAAAACUAAGCAAAGCGUACUAUAGUUUUGGCCCCCGAAACUAAGUGAGCUACUCCGAGACAGCCUUUGAUGAGGGCGAACCCGUCUCUGUGGCAAAAGAGUGGGAUGAGCUCCGAGUAGAGGUGAUAAGCCUACCGAACUUAGUUAUAGCUGGUUGCCCGAGAAACGAGUAGUAGCUCAGCCUGCCGGAUUCUCCCGUCUUCCUUGGAUACACCACCGUAUGAUAUGCAGAAACUGACAGAGUAAUUCAAAGGGGGUUCAGCCCCUUUGAACAAGGAUACAGCCUUAUAAGCAGGCCAAAGAUCAUAAUUACACAAGGACCUGUCCCAUGGUGGGCUUAGAAGCAGCCACCCAUAAGAGAAAGCGUUACAGCUCAAACACACCUACACCCUCCCCCUAUAAGGAUUAUUUUUCUACAGCCUCCCCUUUUUACCGGGCCUCCCUAUUUUAAAGUAAUAGGAGAGAUUAUGCUGAAAUGAGUAGUAAGAGGGUAAGACCCUCUCCCGGACACGAGCGUACAUCGGAACGAACCCCCACCGAAAGUUACCGGCCUCAAACUAAGAGAGAAGUGGGUGACAUUAAAUUUAUCUAGAAGACCUCCCAAGUAACCACCGUUAAUCUUACACUAGAGUGUCUCCAGGGAAAGACUAUAGGGGCAAGAAGGAACUCGGCAAACACCUCUAGCCCCGCCUGUUUACCAAAAACAUCGCCUCUUGCCCCCCCCACAUAAGAGGUCCCGCCUGCCCUGUGACCAACAGUUUAACGGCCGCGGUAUACUGACCGUGCAAAGGUAGCGCAAUCACUUGUCUUUUAAUUGAAGGCCUGUAUGAAUGGCAUUACGAGGGCUAAACUGUCUCCUUCCCCCAGUCAAUGAAAUUGAUCUCCCCGUGCAGAAGCGGGGGUACACAAAUAAGACGAGAAGACCCUAUGGAGCUUCAGACAACAGAAUAGUUAAUGUUAAUCACCCCCUAACAAGGACUCAAACAAACUCAGGCCUAUUCAACUGUCUUCGGUUGGGGCGACCGCGGAGAAAAGAAAAUCCCCCGCAUGGAAUGGGGAAAACCUCCCCCAAACUAAGAGUGACAACUCUAAGCAACAGAAUAUCUGACCACUAUGAUCCGGCUUAGGCCGAUCAAUGGAACUAGUUACCCUAGGGAUAACAGCGCAAUCCUCUUCAAGAGUCCCUAUCGACAAGUGGGUUUACGACCUCGAUGUUGGAUCAGGACAUCCUAUUGGUGCAGCCGCUAUUAAGGGUUCGUUUGUUCAACGAUUAACAGUCCUACGUGAUCUGAGUUCAGACCGGAGCAAUCCAGGUCAGUUUCUAUCUAUUUAAUGGCCCCCCCCAGUACGAAAGGACCGGGGAGACAAGGCCAAUGUUACAAGUAUGCCCUCCCCUCACUCACUGACACCUACUAAAGUGAACAAAAGGACAUACCUCUAUGGAGAGCAGGAGAAGAUUGUAA
rnacentral:rRNA from 1 species